CGAGCUGUGGCGCAGCUUAGUAGCGCGCUGGUCUGGGGGACCAGAGGUCGUGGGUGCAAAUCCCACCAGCUCGA
rnacentral:tRNA from 1 species